AUGGGCGAUCGGUGGCACCAACGAGGGGACACUAGGCUACUUCCCUGUAAAAAACAAUCCUGCGGGAGCGAUCGAUUGGGCGGAGGCUGUCCUGGAAGCAGUCUUGAGAGCCUCGGCAAAAACAAGGGCAUCUUUGGGUGGACAGGAGGUGAAGAUGGCCGUCUAUGUUGCUGGCGCUCCGACGACGUCGUACAAACAAAGAAGUCCUGGAUCUCCAGUACGCUCGUGUCACGCGUCGACAAGAAAACAAAAAUCCGACAUCAGCCCUACUGA
rnacentral:rRNA from 1 species